rnacentral:rRNA from 1 species
CCGAGUUUACAACUCCCAAACCCAAUGUGAACGUUACCAAACUGUUGCCUCGGCGGGGUCACGCCCCGGGUGCGUCGCAGCCCCGGAACCAGGCGCCCGCCGGAGGAACCAACCAAACUCUUUCUGUAGUCCCCUCGCGGACGUAUUUCUUACAGCUCUGAGCAAAAAUUCAAAAUGAAUCAAAACUUUCAACAACGGAUCUCUUGGUUCUGGCAUCGAUGAAGAACGCAGCGAAAUGCGAUAAGUAAUGUGAAUUGCAGAAUUCAGUGAAUCAUCGAAUCUUUGAACGCACAUUGCGCCCGCCAGUAUUCUGGCGGGCAUGCCUGUCCGAGCGUCAUUUCAACCCUCGAACCCCUCCGGGGGAUCGGCGUUGGGGAUCGGGACCCCUCACACGGGUGCCGGCCCCUAAAUACAGUGGCGGUCUCGCCGCAGCCUCUCCUGCGCAGUAGUUUGCACAACUCGCACCGGGAGCGCGGCGCGUCCACGUCCGUAAAACACCCAACUUUCUGAAAUGUUGACCUCGGAUCAGGUAGGAAUACCCGCUGAACUUAAGCAUAUAAA